UGGUGGAGUGAUUUGUCUGGUUAAUUCCGAUAACGAACGAGACCUUAUCCUGCUAAAUAGCCCGGCCGGCUUUGGCUGGUCGCUGGCUUCUUAGAGGGACUUUUAGCGUUUAGCUAAAGGAAGUUUGAGGCAAUAACA
rnacentral:rRNA from 1 species